GAGCUCGCUCCUGAGGGGGCGCCGGCGGCUCUAAACCUGCUGUGUUUCAUAUCGCUGGUGUGAUGUGAUGUUUUACCCAUGAUGCUGCUGGGUUUGUGGUUUUCAGGGCUGCAGUCAGACGUUCAGUGAUUGGCUGCAGGAGAACUCCCUGACCAUCAUCGCCAUGGACGUCGCCCUGCAGUUACUGCAGGUGGCGCUGUUCGUCAUGGCGGUGUAUCUGUACCGUGCAUUUGGAGAAGGCCGCGCUCUGAAACGGACCGAUCUGCUGGCUGGCAGAGACCACGCCCCCACCGAUGACCUGGGGGAGCUGAACUACGCCUACAAUGACCAGGUUGGAGCUUACAUAGACCCCCAUCACCUGCCUUAUCACCACGAUGACCACGGCCAGGUGUAUGUGGACCAAGUGCAGAGCUACUAACCUGCUACAAACAUUAUAGGCUCAGGUUCUGGUUCUGGAAACAUGAGCCUCCAACCAGCCUGCGGUCUUAUACCCUCUGUUAUCCAA
rnacentral:lncRNA from 1 species